rnacentral:rRNA from 1 species
AGAUACCCUGGUAGUCCACGCCGUAAACGAUGAGUGCUAAGUGUUAAAAGGUUUCCGCCCUUUAGUGCUGAAGUUAACGCAUUAAGCACUCCGCCUGGGGAGUACGGCCGCAAGGCGGAAACUCAAAGGAAUUGACGGGGGCCCGCACAAGCGGUGGGGCAUGUGGCUUAAUUCGAAGCAACGCGAAGAACCUUACCAGGUCUUGACAUCCUCUGACAACCCUAGAGAUAGGGCUUCUCCUUCGGGAGCAGAGUGACAGGUGGUGCAUGGUUGUCGUCAGCUCGUGUCGUGAGAUGUUGGGUUAAGUCCCGCAACGAGCGCAACCCUUGAUCUUAGUUGCCAUCAUUAAGCUGGGCACUCUAAGGUGACUGCCGGUGACAAACCGGAGGAAGGUGGGGAUGACGUCAAAUCAUCAUGCCCCUUAUGACCUGGGCUACACACGUGCUACAAUGGACGGUACAAAGAGCUGCAAGACCGCGAGGUGGAGCUAAUCUCAUAAAACCGUUCUCAGUUCGGAUUGUAGGCUGCAACUCGCCUACAUGAAGCUGGGAUCGCUAGUAAUCGCGGAUCAGCAUGCCGCGGUGAAUACGUUCCCGGGCCUUGUACACACCGCCCGUCACACCACGAGAGUUUGUAACACCCGAAGUCGGUGGGGUAACCUUUUUGGAGCCAGCCGCCUAAGGUGGGACAGAUGAUUGGGGGUGAAGUCGUAACAA